rnacentral:hammerhead_ribozyme from 1 species
GUACCGCUGAAGAGUGUCAAGCACUAGGACGAAACAGCUGUCCAGUAC